rnacentral:lncRNA from 1 species
AGUUGGAGAAAAAAUUGUUCGUAAAGUUUUCUAUGUGGAUGAAAAUCUCUGGAGGGAACUCAGUUGAGGAGGUGACAUGAACUCGUCGUCACGUGAAGGAACUACUUUCGCGUGGCCACUUUCCAAUCCGUAAAUGAUGCUCGAAUGAGGCAGCAGGCAUGGAAUAAGAGUUUGACAGCGAUAGUCCAUGAUGGGACUAUUCUGAGAUCCGGCUUCAGAUAAGCCUCUAUUUAUUUUUUCGCAAAUACCGUCCAGUCAUCGACCCACCAAGCGGAUUGCAUUGUUAACAAUGGCCAAAUUCUAUGAUCCACUUGUUCUAAUAACCCCAAUCUCUAUGGAGUGCUAAGGUGAAAUGCCAGGACAAUUCUUUCGUCAUGGGCGGAGUUGACUUUACAGUUAUCACGAUUCGUAAUGCAGCCUAGAGCUUCCGUUCAGUAACUGAACUUCAGUUCCAUCGAUUUUGCGAUGCUAUCAGCUUAUGGAUCGUGCUUAUUCUGUCAUAAGGCAGAGACCAGAAACAAGAGAAGAUUCAUCAGUCUUCGAGGCAUUCUACGUACUAUUUGGAGUGAUAACGCUAGAAACUUUGUUAGUGCCAUGAGCGAGCCGAGCGGCGAGAGCUUUUCUUGAUAGCUAGACAAUGACAAAUGGAUAGGCACAGGCGUCCAGACUCACAAAAUUUACAAGACUAAUAAAAUUAUGCAAAAAACAUUAAAACCGGGUAUAAUUACAAUUGGAAGAUUCAAAUAGUUUCAUGCCCAAGACGUCGCCAAAUUUAUGGCCAGUCAAGACUUCCUGUUCCCGGAUUGGCUAUAAGUGACAUCAAGGCGGCCCAUUGAUCAGCGUAAUGAAGAGGCCGACGAUUCCCUAAUUGCUGUUGCCAGAAGUCCCACUACUGCCUAUAAAGGCUCAGAUGCAGUCACGCCCCAGAAGAUGAUGAUGCGGGUGAGCUCUUGGCUUUGGAAGGUCCUAAAGCUAGCAGUCAUAAUGUCAGUUCAUAGAUUACAACACCGGUCCCUCCCAAGUGUUGAUUAUGGAUCUAUGGGAAUAAUAUACAUAUAUGAAAUCCGUAAAAAACUUGCAACCAUUUGUCUUUUCAUGCCCUCGAGUGUCUGCUCAGAUGUGGACGUGGACGUAGAUUUGUGGCUGGAAAAAGGAUGCGAGAUUUCCUCCUCGUCUGACAAACUGACGGACUUGGAUGACUUAUCUGUUCGUCUAACUUCAGUUCCGUCUGAUGGCUCUGGCCGAAUCGACUGAACUCCUAAGACGGCUGGUACUGAGGCAAAAACUU